rnacentral:rRNA from 1 species
GUAAACGAUGUCGACUUGGAGGUUGUGCCCUUGAGGUGUGGCUUCCGGAGCUAACGCGUUAAGUCGACCGCCUGGGGAGUACGGCCGCAAGGUUAAAACUCAAAUGAAUUGACGGGGGCCCGCACAAGCGGUGGAGCAUGUGGUUUAAUUCGAUGCAACGCGAAGAACCUUACCUGGUCUUGACAUCCACGGAAGUUUUCAGAGAUGAGAAUGUGCCUUCGGGAACCGUGAGACAGGUGCUGCAUGGCUGUCGUCAGCUCGUGUUGUGAAAUGUUGGGUUAAGUCCCGCAACGAGCGCAACCCUUAUCCUUUGUUGCCAGCGGUCCGGCCGGGAACUCAAAGGAGACUGCCAGUGAUAAACUGGAGGAAGGUGGGGAUGACGUCAAGUCAUCAUGGCCCUUACGACCAGGGCUACACACGUGCUACAAUGGCGCAUACAAAGAGAAGCGACCUCGCGAGAGCAAGCGGACCUCAUAAAGUGCGUCGUAGUCCGGAUUGGAGUCUGCAACUCGACUCCAUGAAGUCGGAAUCGCUAGUAAUCGUGGAUCAGAAUGCCACGGUGAAUACGUUCCCGGGCCUUGUACACACCGCCCGUCACACCAUGGGAGUG